UACGUAGGGUGCGAGCGUUAAUCGGAAUUACUGGGCGUAAAGAGUGCGUAGGCGGUUCGUUAUGUCUGCUGUGAAAGCCCCGGGCUUAAUCCGGGAAUGGCAGUGGAAACUGGCGGGCUUGAGUGUGGCAGAGGGGGGUGGAAUUCCGCGUGUAGCAGUGAAAUGCGUAGAGAUGCGGAGGAACACCGAUGGCGAAGGCAGCCCCCUGGGCUAACACUGACGCUGAGGCACGAAAGCGUGGGGAGCAAACAGG
rnacentral:rRNA from 1 species